CCCCAUAAAGCUUUUCCACUGUCAAAAAAGAAAGCUGAGCUGUGUUGUCCAAAUGAAAGGCUGUUCCUUGGGUAGUGUGAGGCACAGGGUCCUCCUUCUGAUGUCUCUAGAGAGCCUUGGAGCCAAGGCUGCCACCACUAAGGAGAGCACAGGUCCAAGACAACUGAAAUGACUGGAUUUUGCCUCUGUGAGAUUCUGGGCUUGAGACCCUGAACCCUGCAAGCAGGAUGUCCUCCUCAUUUCUGGCUCCUGGAACCAUCUCCUGUUGUCCUUUCCCCUCCCUGCCUCUACCAUCCCCAGGCGGUGUGACAGCAGGAGUGGAAGCUCUUGUCCUGCUGGGUGCCCAGGCACUUGUGAGCUGGAGACAUCCCGUCACGGGCCUGGUGUUGUUUGGGCAGAGGCUGCUUUUCCCGACUUGAAUAAAGAUGAGCAUUUUGGAAUUGCA